GGUAGGCUUACUCGAUGGCUUUUCAUUUCUUUCUGUUUCUUCCCAUGGCUUCCAUACAUAUUUUAGGCAGAGAUAUUUUGGAACUUCACAAUGCACACAUUUCCUUUUCUCAAAUGGGGGAAAUGUAUUUAAAUUUGGAACAGAAGGCACAUACCCAACAUUACUCUUUUAAUAAACUUGUUUCCUUCUGUCCUCAACUAAUGUUACUAUUUUUCAUUGUAAUAAUCUUUGCGCAGCCACUCAUUUGCAUUUGCCUACUGAAAGACAUCACAUGACUGCGUCACUCGGAUGAACCAAGAUAGUUGCAUUUGGAGAUAGAGCCUUCAGGAAGCUCCUUCUGUGUGGUCCAACUCUCUUCCGCGCAUAGGACACACACACAUCUUUCAGUGCUGCCCUCAGAGUCCAGCCCAUGCUUGCCAGCCCUCCCUUAAUCCCUGCCUUCCAGCAACCUGCACACUCAGCGCUCCACACAUUCCACAGGGUCAGUACCCAGCUCCCAGGGCUCUGUCAUCUUUGGAAGACCAGACGGUUGUUGCUAGGCAGAAUAUACAGGGCACAACUGUAGCCAACUGUCUAACUCAAGCCUAUUCAUGGUAUUUCUCUGUUUGCAUGGAUUAUGAAUCGAGGAAGCAAUGAUUUUUCAGUUUACCACACAAGCUGUUGUUCCUUGAUUAACUGUUAUGAAAAUGAUAGCUAUGUUCUAUGACUUUAAUUUUACUAAAAUUCUGAGAUGCAAAAUAAUAUUCAGUCUAUAUUAUUUGCAGGAGAAUGAUUAGCUCUGCAGAGUAGUAGGAAGUAACAAAAGAAAUAGAGGGCAUUGGAACUGUCUUAUAUAGCAAGGCACAUGUAUGGAUUGGGGCAGGUUUGUCCUGUGCCAGCUUUUUGUACUACUUAAUCAAGUGGCCUGAAAUCAACUGUGUAUGCCUGUACAAGUUAUGACUUCUGACACAUGGAGGUCACUUGAAAUCAAAUAGAGGUACAAUCAAGUUCUGGUUUUACCUUGUACUAGUGCUGUGAUAUAUGCUUAGUUGCUUUACUUUCCUGAGUUUUAAUUUCUUCAUCUGUAAAAUGGUGGUAAUAACAGUCAAUGUGAAUGUAAACGAGAACAUAUAUGUAAAGGGGCCUCUCAGUUUAUACAACAAAGUCAUUGUUUAGUAAAUGUGAAUACUUGCCCCACCAAUAAAUAUCUGUUACAUGGACUUGAGUGUAUAGUUGAACUUUAUUUCAAUCUUGAAAA
rnacentral:lncRNA from 1 species